rnacentral:rRNA from 1 species
UACGUAGGCAGCAAGCGUUGUUCGGAGUUACUGGGCGUAAAGGGUGCGUAGGCGGCUUCUUAAGUCUGGUGUGAAAUCUCCCGGCUCAACUGGGAGGGUGCGCCGGAUACUGAGGGGCUAGAGUGUGGGAGAGGAAAGUGGAAUUCCUGGUGUAGCGGUGAAAUGCGCAGAUAUCAGGAGGAACACCGGUGGCGAAGGCGGGUCUCUGGGCCGAUAUUGACGCUGAGGAGCGAAAGCGUGGGGAGCGAACAGG